AACGAACGCUGGCGGCAUGCCUAACACAUGCAAGUCGAACGAGACCUUCGGGUCUAGUGGCGCACGGGUGCGUAACGCGUGGGAACCUGCCCUUAGGUUCGGAAUAACUCCCCGAAAGGGGUGCUAAUACCGGAUAAUGUCUUCUGACCAAAGAUUUAUCGCCUUUGGAUGGGCCCGCGUUGGAUUAGCUAGUUGGUAGGGUAAAAGCCUACCACAGCGACGAUCCAUAGCUGGUCUGAGAGGAUGAUCCGCCACUCUGGAACUGAGACACGGCCGAGAAUCCUGCAGGAAGGAGCAAUGGGGAAUAUUGGCCUAUGGGCGAAAGCAUGAUCGAGUAAUGCCGGGUGAGUGAUGAAGGCCUGGGGGUUGUAAAGCUGUUUUACCCCGCAUGAGGAUGACAGUACCGGGAGAAUAAGCACCGGCUAACUCCGUG
rnacentral:rRNA from 1 species